AAGUCCCGUAACGAGCGCAACCCUUGUCCUGUGUUGGCAUGCCCGCAAGGGCGCAACUCUCAGGAGACCGCCAGCGAUAAGUUGGAGGAAGGUGGGGAUGACGUCAAGUCAUCAUGGCCUUUAUGUCCAGGGCUACACACGUGCUACAAUGGGCGGUACAAAGCGCUGCAAACCCGCGAGGGGGAGCUAAUCGCAAAAAACCGUUCUCAGUUCGGAUUGCAGGCUGCAACUCGCCUGCAUGAAGCUGGAAUCGCUAGUAAUGGCAUAUCAGAACGAUGCCGUGAAUACGUUCCCGGGCCUUGUACACACCGCCCGU
rnacentral:rRNA from 1 species